rnacentral:tRNA from 1 species
GGAGAGGCUGUGGCUCAAUGGUAAAGCAUCGGCUUUGUAUGCCGAAGGUCCCAGGUUCACACCCCAACAUCUCCA